rnacentral:rRNA from 1 species
AGUGAACGCUGGCGGUAGGCCUAACACAUGCAAGUCGAACGGCAGCACAGGAGAGCUUGCUCUCUGGGUGGCGAGUGGCGGACGGGUGAGGAAUACAUCGGAAUCUACUCUGUCGUGGGGGAUAACGUAGGGAAACUUACGCUAAUACCGCAUACGACCCACGGGUGAAAGCAGGGGACCUUCGGGCCUUGCGCGAUGGAAUGAGCCGAUGUCGGAUUAGCUAGUUGGCGGGGUAAAGGCCCACCAAGGCGACGAUCCGUAGCUGGUCUGAGAGGAUGAUCAGCCACACUGGAACUGAGACACGGUCCAGACUCCUACGGGAGGCAGCAGUGGGGAAUAUUGGACAAUGGGCGCAAGCCUGAUCCAGCCAUACCGCGUGGGUGAAGAAGGCCUUCGGGUUGUAAAGCCCUUUUGUUGGGAAAGAAAUCCAGCUGGCUAAUACCCGGUUGGGAUGACGGUACCCAAAGAAUAAGCACCGGCUAACUUCGUGCCAGCCGCCGCCGUAA